CUGUCACCUAGAUGGCAGCGUCCUUUAGCUGUCCAUGGAGAGGUCAUAAAUGCACCAUCUGGUUUCCCAGCAGGCACAGGAAAAAGUCCUUCAGGGGGCUGCCUGAACUACUGCUGCACUGCCAGCCCGGGACCGAGAGCCGAGCUGAUUGGCGAGCCAUGGCCCAGUCAUGUGAUGGAGCCGACCUCGGCGGGGGGCACCAGCCUUUCACGGGCUGCCGAGGGCAAGACCAGCUGUAUUGACGACACUGAGCCAGAAGGAGCCCCUUCAACAAAGACACACAGAUGCACCCACUGAAAGGUCAGCGAACGGCGUCGUGCGUGAACGAGAUGGGCUCCGGAGUUCCUCCAGAAAGCCCUGAAAUCCAGAAGGGCCUCGUGCCAAGUAACGGCCACGAACAGAUAAGUCACUGUUCAUUCUAUUCUGCUUGACAACAAACUUGCUGCAAGUGAACGGGACACCCGUCGCAAAUCAAACUGGUCCCCCACGUGCCCUGGCAGCAUGGGUGAUGCAUGGACCUGGGUACCACGUGAUGAAUUAGCCCCCUCCCCCUCCCAAAAAAGCCUCUUUUCAGGCUAAAGCGGGGAGCUCAGUGCAGCCUGGAAUGCAGGCACCCAACCAGGAGCACAGCCCCCAAGUCGUAAGUCAUGGUCACUCCUUAGUGGAAUUACCGCUGUCCCUCUGUUGUCCAUUACUCCCACUGUCCUGUAGCUACUUACUUACUUAUUCCUUUUCAGAUUCAUCAAGACAACAUCUGACGUCUUCUAUCACUCUCGGAACAGCUAGAGAAGUGCAAAGAAACUGAGAUGACCCUUUUCUUGACCGUGAUGGUUUCAGUUGACGUGAUUAUCACGUCAAUAUAUGCACAUGCAAUGUAUACGAAGAAUAUCCUGUACUGUUUGUACGUCGGUAUCCCUGUUAUUGAGUGUUACUGUAAACUAAUAAGCCUACGUUCAGCAAUGGUGGUACCCUGGUUCUUACAUGCGUUCAGAAGAUCCGUAAAAAUCAGCAGAGCCUGAAACAUGUUAGUCACAUUCACCAAGAAUCUUUGACAUACAUAUUAUGCCUUCGUAAUUGCACACACACACACACACACACACACAGACAGUACACUGCCACCAACCAGUCCAGUCACACUGCGAUUUCUUAGCUGCCAAAAGUGAGACCUUUCUGAUAACUUGGGGAAGACCUCAGCUCUUCGCCAUCGAUGUCUGAUCUGAUCGCGUUUGGAAGGAGGUCACAGUUCAGUCUGUGUGGGAUAAAUUGGUGGUUGAAGUUGUAGUAUUCUAACCAGCGCGAGACGCUUCUUUUGCGGCUAAGGCUGAUUUUCAACUGGUGCUGCUAUUUGAGAAAGCAUUUUUAUAAAUGAGCUUCCCCAGCACUGACAGAGAUCUCCCCCGCCAGCCUACCACGUAGCAACAAUGCAUGGCUGGAGAGAUCUAGUUUUGGGAGGAAAAUAAUUGCAGAAGUGCCAGCUGACCACAGCAAGUCAUGAUAUCAGAAUCUCCCCGUGGAACGAUCUGCAACAUAUCAUGGCUUUAACUUUAAAUUGUAUUUUGUGGUUUAUAAAAUUUUGAAGUUGGCAAAAAGAACGCAUCAACAAAAUUAGCCCUGUCGUAACACAAAAGCAAGGAGGAUAUUCUAUGCCGCAGGCAUGAGUCUUCCCGAUUCAAAGACGGCAAACUAUUUGUAUAUAGCUAUUUGUUUAAACGAUGGCUUGCAUUAUAAUCCGAACUGAGCUUUGCUCAGAAAUAGCUACUUAUCUCUGGCACCUGAAAUGAAACACAUCAACAUCCUGCCUGUUUACUUUGAUCAAGCCCACGUUAUAUGGUGGCAGUUUCUCUUUUAAAACCUAAAUAUCAGAUGCUGAAUUCUCCCCCAUUGAGCUGUGCUGCACACGCAUGCUAAUAAAUGCUUCAGUGACAUUUUUUGAGUCAUUGGUAGUCGAAAUAUAUACCCGAUAAGAGAGGAAAUGCAGACUUGAAGGGUGAAACCAUACAGCUCAGAACCAAACUGUGUCGUACUACUUUUGACAGUAAGUAGUUAAAAAAAAACUGUACAUAUAAAAGAAUGUAGGCCCUGAUAGUAAGAUCCACCUGACCAAAAAAUCUCUGUGAUCCAGUGUAAACUUAUGAGUCAGUCCUUUUCGCUCCAGAUAUGACUAACGCAUGAGUGUCGGGCUAAUGAAGAACCCAACCGAAGCCACGGUUCUCAGAAUGUACAGCAAAGGUCUUCAAGGCCUGGACAUAAUCCGGUCUGUAACUUUUAAGGCAUUUCCUUCAGUAGCAGCAGGUAGUAAAACCGAAGUUUUGACCGGAAGGGAUCCUACUCUUGCAACAUGUUAGCAUUAAUACGUCAUGAAUGAAUGUAUUUGUUACUGUGAGCUAACAGUCAUUUUGGACAAAAGUGUCCAGUUGGAAUUUAGCGGCGCGAUACGAUGACUGGAAUCAUCGUUGGAAUUCAGGCGAGAAGAGGCACAGGCACUUUAACCUCAGUCGCAUGAAUAACUCAUCGUGGGACACAUGCAUCAGAGUCAUAAGGUGGCAAAGAAAAGUAUGAAUGGAAGUCAUGCCUACACUGCUGAGCAGCACAUUGUGGACAUUCUUCACACCGUGAAUCAGAGCAAGUGAUCCUGAAUUUUAUGAAUACAGCACGCCGUACUUCACAUCUUCAAAGGAGCACUGGAGUCCUUCUCUCGACCUGGCGAUGCUCAUUAACUGUAAACAAUGGUGUAGAAUGCUCAAAUCUGAAUUCUGUCGUCAAGGAGACCAAAACUGUACCUGCCACUUAAAUGGCUAGAGACGAUAGCAGAGUUUAGUUAAUAUAAACACUUUAAUAGGUUGAUUUACACACUGAUAAAACAUUACAAAUGCAGCCAUUAGAGACAUUCAGUAAUUUGAAGCUGACAGCACGCCCUCCUAUAACACUCGCCGAAUUGGCAUAUGUCCAAAAUUAUAGCCCAAAAUAAGCACAAUAUUACUAUCCAGUCUCCCUCCCCAUGGCGACCCGAGUCUUCUGUGACAGAAUCUUUAUAGCCAUGCUGGCUCCCCCGAGAAAAGGCUUAAAUUAUAACACAAUUUCAUUGCUUCUCUGCAAAACUCGCUGUGGUAUAGGGCUAGGUAGGUCAUCCUUAAACUAAUUAUUGUACAGAGGCCUGAUGUCGGAAUAAGAGAGCCAAAGAACAGCGUGUGGAUUUCGGGAGGGGGAAAAAAAAAGAUCAUCGAAUGGAUCAUAAAAGAGGCCUGCAUCUCUUGCCAACAUUUUUAAUGUAAGAAAAUAAGCCUGAGGUGAGUUACUUUUUUAAGAAGGUCACACUGUGUCCAUAAUAUGGCAUAUAAUCACUUGCAAACUACAUUCUGAUCUAUAAUCUAUACAAUGCCUUGGUCAUUGAAAUGUUCAACCAAGGACAGGGAAAAAGUAAUUAAGUACAUCAAAGCUGCCAGAUCCAUGGUUUUUGUUGGCCGUCGUCCAUGUGCGUGAUGAAACCCCAACAGCCAUCCUGUUAAUUACUAAAACACCCUGCAUUUUCUCCCGUGAGCAGUUGCUCUUCGUUUUUAACUGCCUCAAUUACGGUAAAUUUGUUUUGCGGUGCCAUGACCGGGCUCAUAUUUCCUUUGGAGGAAACCAAUUUGCCCAUCAACUCUGCAAUGCUGCGCUUUCAAAGAAUAAUAAUAAUAACCGUCAUCAUCAGCAUCGGACAAAAUAAA